rnacentral:rRNA from 1 species
AGUAGUAGGAUCUUAGCAGAGUGAGAAUCUCUGCCACCGAAAGGCUAAGGGUUCCUUGACAAUGUAGUUCAGUCAAGGGUAAGUCGCUCCUAACCGCAUUCCUAACAGUUAUGCGGGAAAGGGAAAUCGGUUAAUAUUCCGAUACCGUCAAGGUAUUUGGUAACAAAAGCUUAGAAAGUAACGCUUCGGGUAGGGUUGACGCAUGUUCUGCGCUAACCAUGGCAUGCCUGUGGAGUAUCGUAAUGAUGAGAAGCAGGCAAACCUGGGAAUGGGUAACUCAGCUUGUGCCUGGAGCCCUUGAAAAGCUUUCUAAGUUAAAUCCUUGAUGUGCGUACCCAGAACCAGCACUGGUAGCCUGGAUGAGAAGUCCAAGGUGUGAAGGUGUAAUUCGACUAAGGGAAUUCGGCAUAUUAGCCCCGUAACUUCGGUUUAAGGGGUCCCUGCAUUCCUAAGCGGGUCUGCAGGGCGCAGUGACUAGGACGGCCCGACUGUUUAACAAAAACUUAACUGGCUGCUAAGCCGUAAGGCCUUGUAUAGCCGGUGACGUCUGUCCAGUGCCGGCACUUCAAACUCCAGUCCAAUGGAGCUAAGAACCGGUAAACGACGGGAGUAACUAUAACUCUCUUAAGGUGGAAAUACUGCCUUAGUAAAAUCUGGCUGUAUGCUGGAACGUCUCGUUGAAGCAACAUAGGUAAUUGCCGUAGUGAUGCGGUAACAACUCCUAACAAUUGUUGUGGAGAGAUAAUCAGCAGGAAAGGUUUCUCGAUGAGAAAAAUCCUCAGAGACUGUACGCCGGACACGCAAAGUGAAGAUACAGUCCGACCCCAGCAGCGAUGUUGGGAAGUCAGCAGAAAUGUUGGCUCGCCUCAAUUGAGGUCUCGAAAGUAACAGAUGUGAGCGAAAUACCUUGUCGUUUGAUUGACGACGCGCAUCAAUGACGUAACGAGGUCGUCACUGUCCCUAAUUGAAAACCUCCGAACAUUCUAUCAUGGUGCGAAGGCCAUGGAUCUCCAGUGGGAAGCGAAGACCCCGUGAAACUUUACUGUAGCUUGCUGCUGCGAUUCGGGUUCUGUUGUAUAGCGUAAGUGGGAGUUAAGCUGAGCAAUCAGUGGUACGCCAAUGUAACACCACUCUACGGAACCUGAAUUGCUAACUUAGCAAUAAGGACAACGGUUGGCGGACAGUUUGGCUGGGGUGGCACACUCCUGAAAAAAUAUCAGGAGUGCCCAAAGGUUGGCUCAGACGGGUCGGAAAUCCGUCGCAGAGUGCAAGUGCAUAAGCCAGCCUGAUUGGAUUCCUAAUAGGAAAGAAUCCAAACAAGAAAUUGUGGACUAGCGAACCUCUGUACCUCAUUAAUCGAGGUCAGAGAUGACCGAAAAGUUACUCCGGGGAUAACAGAGUUGUCUCGCCUGAGAGCUCGUUUAAGAGCGCUCGGUUUGAUAACUGUUUAUUCCAAUUACGGUCACGUUAGAAUUUGGGGUUAGUUAAUUAGUGUUAGCUAGCUCAUUGACGUAACUGAAUUGGUAGACAGUACUAUAAUCCGAACGUUCUAGAGCAAAUCGACGGCGAGGCUUGCUACAUCGACGUCGGCUCUUCCUAUCCUGGCCGUGCACAAGCGGCCAAGGGUGAGGGUGUUCACCUAUUAAAAGGGAUCGUGAGCUGGGUUCACAACGUUGUGAGACAGUUGGUAUGAUAUCUACUGGAGAUGCACAUACGUUUGAGUGGAAGGAAGCCAUAGUACGAGAGGAACUGGUUUUCGGCGCCACUGGUCUACCUGUUGUCCAAAAGGGCAGGCAGGGCAGCUACGCGCUACAAGGAUAAGUGCUGAAAGCAUCUAAGCACGAAGCCUUCCGCAAAAAGAAACGUAUUGGAACUCUCAUAAAACAUGAGUUUGAUAGAGCGGGUGUGUAAGUGCCAAGGUCACGAGGCAUUCAGCUCGCCGCCACUAAACGUUCCUAACUUAUCUUC